ACACUCUCAUAAGCAUUUGUAACAAGGCCGUUAGUAUAAACAUUUCCAUAGGGACCAAGAAUGAAGUAUCUCCUGUUUAUGACUGUUUCUCUGUUUGCGGCCCAUGUCGCCGCUCACGAAGGAUGCCUUCACGAAGGAGUGGAAUACAACCUAGGCGACAGAUUCUCCAUAGACUGUAACCAAUGCAUGUGCCGAC